GUGAGAUGUGUGUGCAAAAUUGUUGGUGAUAUUUACAUGGAAUUUCAAUCAUUUAUUUUCCGGGAGACAUAAAAACAUAACAAACAAAACAGACACCAAACCAAAGAAGAAAAAAAAGGAAGGAAGGAAGGAAACAAUCAAGAAACCCAUAACAGAACAGAGAGAGAAAUCAUUAAACAAACAUUUAAUACCGGAAAAUUAAAUGGCAGAGCAGACCAGAGAGCUCUCUUCUUUUUGCAGUUUUAUUAGUCAGAUUCCGAGAAGCCAUUCCCACACAAAAGGGACUUUGCGGGCGGACCUGCGGUUCGUUCAAAUCCUGAGCACUGAGAUAUUAAAAUAUCAAAACAAGAGGCACGGCACUCGUCUGGCCCUGGCAAUCAAACAAAACUCCACUCCUGUCAAGAUGCCAAAUAAACACAUGUGCGUGUGCAGUCUUGCGCAUGUAUGUGGCAUGCAACAGCAAAACUUUUAUCAAUUAACUCUGGCAACAAAUUGAAUUCUUAAGAGUUCGAUGCCGCCGGCCAGCCAUAGCCAGGGCAGCCAUGGAAAUUAAAAACAAUUAAAUAUUUGAUAUAACA